rnacentral:lncRNA from 1 species
CAGAAUACAGGGCUCUUCGGUCCAUGGCAGGAUGGCACAGAGCAGAACGAGCAGAGCACCGCAGACUUCAAAGGAAGAAAAAUGCACCUUGGUCCUGCGGAGCCACUGUUACCUGAAAUUCAUCGCAGGAUGCAGCUUUGUGCUCUCAGUGAUACAUAUUUCAUAUGCUAAUUCUGGAUUUUUAGCAUGUCUAUGAGAAUAGCCUUUCUAACCAUAAUAAUGAAGAAAGAUCACAAAAGAAGAGGAAGAGAGAGAGAGAAAAAAAUUUUUUUUAAUUUCUCCACUAAAAAUAAAGGUUAAUCGAUAAACUGG